ensembl:lncRNA
AAUUGACUUUUACUGAGGCUCCAGCAAUUACACCUAAGCAGCAGAACUAGACCAAAUCCGUGGGUUAUAAUGGGGUGAGGAGACCUAGAAAGCAGAAAUACAGAAAAGGAAACAGGGCAGGCAGGGAAGGGCAGCUUUGUGCCUGUCCUUACGUAACAGAGGAAUUUGCUGCUGGUGACAGUGGUGCACUGUGCGAUUACACAGGCAGAGCUGAGUGAAAAACAGGGAAAGGAAAAAACCUGCCGCCCUUAAAUUAAACACACCACUGAGAAAGAGCUGUAGCUCGGAGAAGACAGCGAGUGAGGCGUGAGGUCAGACAGCAAACAACCUCCCCGAGCCUGGGGACAGGCACACAAGGAAAGCAGAGAGCCACGUGCGUGCAGGUGCCUGAGUCAGACAUCACUGGGAGGUGGGAAAAGUCCCAGCACCGUGUCCAGGGAAUUUCAAGGCAAAACUGAGAACUGGAUGUCAGCAAAACAGGACUCAGAGCCAUCAGGGAGACAGGGAUGAAACUGAGGGUGGAUAUUUCUGUUUGGGGUGAGCAGCAGGAAGGUGUUGGCAGCUGGUGAUGUGGAAGGAUUUGUGAUACACUGAAAAAAUUCUUCCCUGUGAUGGUGGUGAGGCCCUGGCACAGGGUGUCCAGAGAAGCUGUGGCUGCCCCAUCCCUGGAGGUGUGCAAGGCCAGGUUGGACGGGGCUUGGAGCAACCUGGGAUGGUGGAAGGUGUCCUUGCCCGUGGCAAGGAACGAGAUGAGCUGUAAGGCCCCUUCCAACCCAGUGCAUGCUGUGCUUCUGUAUUAUUUUGUGCCACCUCAUGAGGUUCCCUGUGCUGUAUGCCAUCCUCCACCCUCUCUCCCUCUUUAGAGCUCACUGACUUUCCUGCUGUGAGAUAUAUCAGCAUCUAUCAAAGCAGUGUUUUGAAAUAGUUUCUCAUAUGCUGCUGUGGGAAAUUAUUCACUAAAUGAUACUGAAUGGGGCAUUUUUGGCAGAUGCAGGCCAGGAGGAGAUGGUCAGUGAACCAUGAAUCUCUUUCCUCUGUAGGGUCCAUGCUUUGAACUGGAGGUAGAGGUGACAACAGGCUCUUUGUAAUUUCAUCCUGUCACUUUGAAUCACACGGGGAUUCUUAUCAGCAGAUCCUUUUUACAGACAACACACGGCAUAUUAUCCUCAAUGGCAUUUCCUUUUCAAAACAGCAUUCUUGUGCUUUGAUCAACGUGUAAAGGACAGAUGAGAGUUGGGUGCAGUCUGAUUUGAUCUACCAGCCUGGGAUAUGAGAAAAAGGAAGGCAUUUGCAUAAUACAUCGCUCUGGUUUCAUGAGUCAGGGGCUGGUGUAGUCCACAAACAUUCUAGAUAUAGAAGUAAUAUUUAUGGAGGCAACCUUGAAACCAGAUUAGAGAGACACAUAAUCCCAGUAGGUUUCACAUACUGAAGUCUCCAAGCUUAAACUGAACAAAAGGUUCAGUUGCUUUGCACAGGGUGUUAGUGACCAGCUGCCAGUAAAAGGCUGUGCAAAAUUCUCAGUUUUGAGGAAAGGUGCCAUCUGAAACUAACUGGGACUUGCAUUUGGUUCACUUCUAGUUCACAGCCCUGGCCUGGUUUUGGAAGAGCUGUUAACCUGACCUUUGCAAGUUCUCCUUGAAUUCUGUGUAAAUAAGCCUUGGGUAUCCUUAGCUCAACCCGCUCCAGGGCCCACCAAGAGGCAUUUACUUCUCCUUCCCCUGCAGGUGUGUCAGC